UAGGAGAACAAGCCAUUAUCAUGCUCUGAUUUCAAUGACUUCCUCACUCUUCACAGGAAAAACAAUUUCUUCUGAUCUGAAACCUGGCUCAGAGGAUCCCUCACAGAGACCGAGUUUGAUAAUAUUCACUGAAGACAUUUUUGACUUAGAGAAAUACAAUAUAAAAUGGAGCCUGGCAGAUUCCUAAAGGAUGAAAUAACUGAAACUUUC
rnacentral:lncRNA from 1 species